CAUAAACAGUAAUUUGGUAAUCUUAGUAUUAAUAGUUAUGGUCUUUAAAUUAAAAGAAUUUGGCGGUAAUUUAGUCUGUUCAGAGGAAUCUGCCCUGUAAUUGAUAUUCCACGAUGAAUUUUACUUUGCCUGGGCUUGUAUAUCUCUGUCAUUGAAUGUCCUAUUAGGGUAUUUUCUGGAAUCUUUAAUGUGCAAAAUGUCAGGUCAAGGUGCAGCAAUGGUAGAGAAGAGGUGGAUUACAUUAAAUGUAUUUAUGGAUAGUGAAUAUGGAAAUAUUUUUGAAAUUGGAUUUGGAAGUAAUUUCUAUUAGAAUGUAGAUUUGAUUUUAGCUCUAAAUUAUGC
rnacentral:rRNA from 1 species